rnacentral:rRNA from 1 species
AUGAACGCUGGCGGCGUGCCUAAUACAUGCAAGUCGAGCGCCCCUUUAAGAGGUGAUAAUCGAAUGAUUGUCUCUUCCUAUGGGGAGCGGCGGACGGCUGAGUAACGCGUGGGAACGUGCCCCAAAGUGAGGGAUAAGCACCGGAAACGGUGUCUAAUACCGCAUAUGAUCUUCGGAUUAAAGCUUUAUGCGCUUUGGGAGCGGCCUGCGUCCUAUUAGAUAGUUGGUGAGGUAAAGGCUCACCAAGUCAACGAUGGGUAGCUGGUCUGAGAGGAUGACCAGCCAGACUGGAACUGAGACACGGUCCAGACUCCUACGGGAGGCAGCAGUAAGGAAUCUUCCACAAUGGGGGCAACCCUGAUGGAGCAACGCCGCGUGCAGGAUGAAGGCCUUCGGGUCGUAAACUGCUUUUAUGAGUGAAGAAUAUGACGGUAACUCAUGAAUAAGGGUCGGCUAACUACGU